AGUGAACGCUGGCGGUAGGCCUAACACAUGCAAGUCGAACGGCAGCACAGUAAGAGCUUGCUCUUACGGGUGGCGAGUGGCGGACGGGUGAGGCAUACAUCGGAAUCUACUUUUUCGUGGGGGAUAACGUAGGGAAACUUACGCUAAUACCGCAUACGACCUACGGGUGAAAGCAGGGGAUCUUCGGACCUUGCGCGAUUGAAUGAGCCGAUGUCGGAUUAGCUAGUUGGGGGGGUAAAGGCCCACCAAGGCGACGAUCCGUAGCUGGUCUGAGAGGAUGAUCAGCCACACUGGAACUGAGACACGGUCCAGACUCCUACGGGAGGCAGCAGUGGGGAAUAUUGGACAAUGGGCGCAAGCCUGAUCCAGCCAUACCGCGUGGGUGAAGAAGGCCUUCGGGUUGUAAAGCCCUUUUGUUGGGAAAGAAAAGCAGCAGGUUAAUACCCCGCUGUUCUGACGGUACCCAAAGAAUAAGCACCGGCUAACUUCGUG
rnacentral:rRNA from 1 species